CUCGGGAAGGGUGGCUACAUUCCCCAGACAGGUUGGCGCGUGGGGAGGACGCCUCCUGGAAGUGUUUUCGUUCGCGUGCUGGGCGCACGAACGCUGCUUGAGCACUGCUCCUGGUCGCCCGGAAGCAGUAUACCUGCCAGCAAGGUGUCACAGCAUUCGGACGCAUCCGUCAAAGACAACUGGUGCUGCUCCAGGAUCAUCAUGCUUGGGAAAGCAGGGUAAAUAUAACCAAAACAAGUUUUGGAAUCGUGACAGGAAAAAAGUGGCAGAAUUCUCUUUGAAGAUAUGGCACCAUGAACAGUUUUAUGUCGGUAUUGUGACCGCAGGAAGACAUAACUCAAGUCGACUUUCAUGCAAGUACUCCAUGGGGCCAUCCUGCUUAACACACCGCGCUACCGUGCUUUCCGCAACAAAUCGGGAUACGAACCAAGAAAAUGGUUUCGGCGGGAGACUGUGUCGACGGCAGGAAACAUCGCGCUGACAACGCUGGCAACAGCAACACCUAACGCCUGUUCCAUGGUUUAGUGAUUGUCGCAUCGGGCAUGAUAAGAGGGAAGUGUAUGGUCUGCGCAAGGGUGCUGUUGUCGAGGCAAUUUCGGUCAAAUACAUGAUGAAUAAACUUU